AGAGUUUGAUCCUGGCUCAGGAUGAACGCUGGCGGCGUGCCUAAUACAUGCAAGUCGAACGAAUCUUCUUCGGAAGAUGAGUGGCGAACGGGUGAGUAAUACAUAGGUAACCUGCCCCUGUGCGGGGGAUAACAGGAGGAAACUCCUGCUAAUACCGCAUAGCCAUGAGCACCGCAUGGAGCUCAUGCCAAAUAUCCUUCAGGGGAUAGCGCAGGGAUGGACCUAUGGCGCAUUAGCUAGUUGGCGGGGCAACGGCCCACCAAGGCAACGAUGCGUAGCCGGCCUGAGAGGGCGGACGGCCACAUUGGGACUGAGACACGGCCCAGACUCCUACGGGAGGCAGCAGUAGGGAAUUUUCGGCAAUGGGGGAAACCCUGACCGAGCAACGCCGCGUGAGCGAAGAAGGCCUUCGGGUCGUAAAGCUCUGUUGUAAAGGAAGAACGUCGCAUGCAGGAAAUGGUGUGCGAGUGACGGUACUUUACCAGAAAGCCACGGCUAACUACGUGCCAGCAGCCGCGGUAAUACGUAGGUGGCGAGCGUUAUCCGGAAUCAUUGGGCGUAAAGAGGGAGCAGGCGGCCGCAAGGGUCUGUGGUGAAAGACCGAAGCUAAACUUCGGUAAGCCAUGGAAACCGGGCGGCUAGAGUGCGGAAGAGGAUCGUGGAAUUCCAUGUGUAGCGGUGAAAUGCGUAGAUAUAUGGAGGAACACCAGUGGCGAAGGCGACGGUCUGGGCCGCAACUGACGCUCAUUCCCGAAAGCGUGGGGAGCAAAUAGGAUUAGAUACGGGUAGUAGUCCACGCCGUAAACGAUGGUCACUAAGUGUCGGGGGUCAAACCCCGGUGCUGCAGUCAACGCAAUAAGUGACCCGCCUGAGUAGUACGUUCGCAAGAAUGAAACUCAAAGGAAUUGACGGAAGGGCGA
rnacentral:rRNA from 1 species